UAUACAUGAUGUAUGGCCGUGUAUAUUGGUGAGUUGUGGAAGAAUAAUGAGCAAGUUAUAUUUAAUGUUUUAGUUAUUGUGUUGUAGAUUUUAUAUUGCAAAUAAAGGAUUGAUAAGUUUGGUGAAGUAUUGAUAAUUGGAAGAUUAUGUAUAUUGAAAGACAAUGUUCUUGCAUGGGUAGUAUGAAAUGGUAUUAGUAUGACGUUGUUGGAAUAUAUAUUAUAAGGUUGCUAUUGUGUUCAUUGAAGUCGGAAGGUUUUGAAGAAAGUAGUAAAUUGAGAUCAUGCAUUUUGAAUGGAAUAUGUGAAUUGCUAGUGUGAUUGUUGAAUUAUGUUAAUAGUUUGGCCGGGUUUGAAUUCCCGGAUUGUGAUUGAUGAGAAAUUUGGCUAUAUUGAAUGUUGAGGAUGGUAUAUUGACAGAGGAAGUGCUGCCGAAAUUUCGGUAGCCAAGUGUUUCCUUAAGAUUCUAACUCUAAGAACCCUAAUAAGAGUUUUGGUAAACAUGACCAAUUUGCAGAUUUUGACGAGAUUGCGACGUGAAUUUGGAAUAGCAAAAGGAGCGGAAAGAGGUCAGCAGACAGGCGGAUUUGAUCUUUAGGAGCUCUACCAGCCGUACUUGACAGCGCUCCAGUUGUUCCGGAGCCUCACUUCCUUGGUACUAUUUUGUGUAUCUAUUUUCGGGCACGACAGCACUCGGCCCUUUCUAUGUAUAAGUGUACUAUGUCUAGAGGCUCGUAGACAGAUAUGUACAGUCAGUUAUGUACAGUUAAAUAUGUGGUAUUUUGGCAUCUUAAUGCUGUUGUAUGAAGCGAUAGCGAAGCUAACUGAUCUAUGUUCAUAAUGACGCUGCUAAUGUUAAUGUU